GAGUUUGAUCGUGGCUCAGAUUGAACGCUGGCGGCAUGCCUUACACAUGCAAGUCGAACGGCAGCAUGAUCUAGCUUGCUAGAUUGAUGGCGAGUGGCGAACGGGUGAGUAAUACAUCGGAACGUGCCCUGUAGUGGGGGAUAACUAGUCGAAAGAUUAGCUAAUACCGCAUCCGACCUGAGGGUGAAAGUGGGGGACCGCAAGGCCUCAUGCUAUAGGAGCGGCCGAUGUCUGAUUAGCUAGUUGGUGGGGUAAAGGCCCACCAAGGCGACGAUCAGUAGCUGGUCUGAGAGGACGAUCAGCCACACUGGGACUGAGACACGGCCCAGACUCCUACGGGAGGCAGCAGUGGGGAAUUUUGGACAAUGGGCGAAAGCCUGAUCCAGCAAUGCCGCGUGUGUGAAGAAGGCCUCGGUUGUAAG
rnacentral:rRNA from 1 species